UACGGAGGGUGCGAGCGUUGUCCGGAAUCACUGGGCGUGAAAGGGCGCGUAGGCGGCUUUGUAAGUCAGAGGUGAAAGCCCCGGAGCUCAACUCCGGAAUUGCCUUUGAGACUGCAUCGCUUGAAUCCAGGAGAGGUGAGUGGAAUUCCGAGUGUAGAGGUGAAAUUCGUAGAUAUUCGGAAGAACACCAGUGGCGAAGGCGGCAUCCUGGCCUGUAACUGACGCUGAGACGCGAAAGCGUGGGGAGCGAACGGAUAGAUACCCU
rnacentral:rRNA from 1 species